AGGAUGAACGCUGGCGGCGUGCUUAACACAUGCAAGUCGAACGAGGUCCAUGGAGCUUGCUCCGGACGACCUAGUGGCGAACGGGUGCGUAACACGUGAGAAACCUGCCCCGAUCUCUGGGAUAACAGUUGGAAACGACUGCUAAUACCGGAUGCCGUCACACCGCUUCAUGGCGGAGUGCCGAAAGAUUCAUCGGAUCGGGAGGGUCUCGCGGCCUAUCAGCUAGUUGGAGAGGUAACGGCUCACCAAGGCAUCGACGGGUAGCUGGUCUGAGAGGAUGAUCAGCCACACUGGGACUGAGACACGGCCCAGACUCCUACGGGAGGCAGCAGUGGGGAAUCUUGCACAAUGGGCGAAAGCCUGAUGCAGCAACGCCGCGUGCGGGAAGAAGGCCCUAGGGUUGUAAACCGCUUUCAGUAGGGAAGAAAUGACGGUACCUACAGAAGAAGGUGCGGCCAACUACGUGCCAGCAGCCG
rnacentral:rRNA from 1 species